UUUCCGUAGGUGAACCUGCGGAAGGAUCAUUAUUGUAUAACCGAGGGGCGAAGGCUGUCGCUGACCCGAAAGGUCGUGCACGCCCGAGUGCCCUCACACACAUCCAUCUCACCCCUAUGUGCACCACCGCGCGGGUCCCCCUUUGGCUUGUUCGGAGGGGGGCUUACGUUUUCACACAAACUUUGUAUGCAGUGUAGAAUGUAUUUUUUGUUUUUGCGAUCACGCAAUCAAUACAACUUUCAACAACGGAUCUCUUGGCUCUC
rnacentral:misc_RNA from 1 species